UAGGGAAUCUUCGGCAAUGGACGAAAGUCUGACCGAGCAACGCCGCGUGAGUGAAGAAGGUUUUCGGAUCGUAAAACUCUGUUGUUAGAGAAGAACAAGGACGUUAGUAACUGAACGUCCCCUGACGGUAUCUAACCAGAAAGCCACGGCUAACUACGUGCCAGCAGCCGCGGUAAUACGUAGGUGGCAAGCGUUGUCCGGAUUUAUUGGGCGUAAAGCGAGCGCAGGCGGUUUCUUAAGUCUGAUGUGAAAGCCCCCGGCUCAACCGGGGAGGGUCAUUGGAAACUGGGAGACUUGAGUGCAGAAGAGGAGAGUGGAAUUCCAUGUGUAGCGGUGAAAUGCGUAGAUAUAUGGAGGAACACCAGUGGCGAAUGCGGCUCUCUGGUCUGUAACUGACGCUGAGGCUCGAAAGAGUGGGGAGCAAACAGG
rnacentral:rRNA from 1 species